UUUGGCCGCCUCCUUCUGUCAAACGAAUGCAUCUAAACUCGCAAUAGGGCUAUUUAUAGGUGAGGAGCGCAACAGAAAACAGGUCCAAGCCCAGCAGACAGCCGCCCGACGGAACAAGUGUGGCGCCCGACAGUUUCCCACAAAUUGCACAACCGUCCGACGGUAGGGGUCUACCGCCCAGCGGUUUCCCUCAAAUCGCAAAUCCUCCCAGCGCCAACGCCAGGUGCCUACUCCUUGCCCUGGACUGCCCGGCGGUGGAAUUUGCCGUCAGGCGGUGCGUCGACUCUGCAAUUCUUUAAUUUUCCUCUCUUUUCUUGAGUCUAUGACCUUUGUCUUCAACUCCAUUCUUCACUUUCUCAAAAUCGCUACAAAACAAUGCAAAAC
rnacentral:lncRNA from 1 species